rnacentral:rRNA from 1 species
UACGAAGGGGGCUAGCGUUGCUCGGAAUCACUGGGCGUAAAGCGCACGUAGGCGGAUUGUUAAGUCAGGGGUGAAAUCCUGGAGCUCAACUCCAGAACUACCUUUGAUACUGGCGAUCUUGAGUCCGGGAGAGGUGAGUGGAACUGCGAGUGUAGAGGUGAAAUUCGUAGAUAUUCGCAAGAGCACCAGUGGCGAAGGCGGCUCACUGGCCCGGUACUGACGCUGAGGUGCGAAAGCGUGGGGAGCAAACAGG